CGGGGAGUGGCGCAGCCUGGUAGCGCGUCUGCUUUGGGAGCAGAGGGUCGCAGGUUCGAAUCCUGUCUCCCCGACCA
rnacentral:tRNA from 12 species